AAAAUACGUGUGCCCUUGCAUUCUCUGGCCAAAAGCUGGCGGAAAAAAUCGUCUUGAAUAUCUGACGAUUUGUUUCGGCAGCUUUUGGCCAAAGAAUAUUUUCGUCCAAGAACAUCAG
rnacentral:precursor_RNA from 15 species